CAGGAUGAACGCUAGCUACAGGCUUAACACAUGCAAGUCGAGGGGCAGCAUUGGGAUAGCUUGCUAUUCAGAUGGCGACCGGCGCACGGGUGAGUAACGCGUAUCCAACCUUCCUGCCAGUAGGGAACAGCCCGGCGAAAGUCGGAUUAAUGCCCUAUGUUCUUCAAUGCGGACAUCUAAGUUGAAGGAAAGAUUCAUCGCUGGCAGAUGGGGAUGCGUCCGAUUAGCUUGCCGGCGGGGUAACGGCCCACCGGGGCGACGAUCGGUAGGGGUUCUGAGAGGAAGGUCCCCCACACUGGUACUGAGACACGGACCAGACUCCUACGGGAGGCAGCAGUGAGGAAUAUUGGUCAAUGGGCGUAAGCCUGAACCAGCCAAGUAGCGUGCCAGGAUGACGGCCCUACGGGUUGUAAACUGCUUUUAUGCGGGGAUAAAGUGCGGCACGUGUGCCGCUUUGCAGGUACCGCAUGAAUAAGGACCGGCUAAUUCCGUGCCAGCCGCCGC
rnacentral:rRNA from 1 species